CCAUCCCUCUAUAUCACAAACCACCAUUUCCAUUUCCUCUCUGCACCAACCCACCCCAGUCCGCAACCAAACACUCCCUCUCCAGCCUCUGCCUCGUGAUCAUCGACAGAGAAUGUGAGAGUGAGCGGCAACCGUGCGUCCGAGAGGGAAGAAAAGGAUCCGCAAGCUGCAAAAAAAUUUUCUGGGUCCGUCCGUGAGUUGAAGGAAGACAGAGAGAAACCGUGAGCGAGCUUCACCAUUCUGCACUUCCAUUUCUACCAGCUGCAAUCAAGUUUCCAGCCUCAACAUUCCACAACAUCAUUCCAUUUCACUUCACCUUCUGCCUUGGUAUCAUCGACCAAGAGAGAGAGAGAGCUGCACUCUGCAAGCCAAGAGUGAAAGUGAGGGAGAGCCGAACACUUUGCUUUGUUUUUCUGUUCGUGAGCUAGAGAGAGAAAAAAAGUGAAACCUGCUAUUCUAUAUCCAUUCCAACCGUGAGUUAGUGAAGAGGACUGAGGGCUAAACAUUCACCAUCCCAGUCGCAAGCUUGGACAAGAGAGAGGAGGAGUGGACGGGCUGCAAUUUCUGGAUAGCCGAGAGGAAGAAAAUGUUGCAGCUGAUUGUCGGGUGAGCUAAGUCUUAAGCUGAGGGUUUUGCGAGGACGCGGAAUUCGAUUCCCAACUUGAUAUCUGAACUUCACUCUUGGAUGGGAAGUUUGAAAGUAUUUGAGCAGCUUAUAUUUCCAAUGAAUGUACUUGAACACCUUGAAUUUAAUUUUCGGUUUGUAAUGACUUCUAAGCUAAGCAUUGUACCUUUCGUUUUGGACUGUCACUUGAAGCUGGAAAAGUGUAAUCCCUAAUUCUAAUAUUCGGUAGGUAUGUUUGUAUUGGUAUAGUAUGUCUUUAAUCCUUGCGAGCGACGCGUGAAGUGUUUAAGAGCCGUCUAUUGGCUAAGUUGUAUGCUGUUAUCUUUGAAGUUAAUGUGGUGAUAGAAAUCGAUUUAUUUCG